rnacentral:rRNA from 1 species
AUUGAACGCUGGCGGCAUGCCUUACACAUGCAAGUCGAACGGCAGCACGGGAGCAAUCCUGGUGGCGAGUGGCGAACGGGUGAGUAAUACAUCGGAACGUGCCCUGUAGUGGGGGAUAACCCGGCGAAAGCCGGACUAAUACCGCAUGAGACCUGAGGGUGAAAGCGGGGGAUCGAAAGACCUUGCGCUAUGGGAGCGGCCGAUGUCAGAUUAGCUAGUUGGNGGGGUAAAGGCCUACCAAGGCGACGAUCUGUAGCUGGUCUGAGAGGACGACCAGCCACACUGGGACUGAGACACGGCCCAGACUCCUACGGGAGGCAGCAGUGGGGAAUUUUGGACAAUGGGCGCAAGCCUGAUCCAGCCAUGCCGCGUGCGGGAAGAAGGCCU